rnacentral:tRNA from 1 species
AGGCGGGUAGCUCAGUGGGAGAGUGUCGGCAAGACACGCCGAGGGUCAUAGGUUCGAUUCCUAUCCUGCCUACCA